rnacentral:piRNA from 1 species
UCCUUCUCGUUUUGGUGACUACUCUUAUGUG